rnacentral:rRNA from 1 species
AUUGAACGCUGGCGGCAGGCUUAACACAUGCAAGUCGAGCGGGGUGAUGGUGCUUGCACUAUCACUUAGCGGCGGACGGGUGAGUAAUGCUUAGGAAUCUGCCUAUUAGUGGGGGACAACAUCUCGAAAGGGAUGCUAAUACCGCAUACGUCCUACGAGAGAAAGCAGGGGAUCACUUGUGACCUUGCGCUAAUAGAUGAGCCUAAGUCGGAUUAGCUAGUUGGGGGGGUAAGGGCCUACCAAGGCGACGAUCUGUAGCGGGUCUGAGAGGAUGAUCCGCCACACUGGGACUGAGACACGGCCCAGACUCCUACGGGAGGCAGCAGUGGGGAAUAUUGGACAAUGGGGGGAACCCUGAUCCAGCCAUGCCGCGUGUGUGAAGAAGGCCUUAUGGUUGUAAAGCACUUUAAGCGAGGAGGAGGCUCUUUUGGUUAAUACCCAAGAUGAGUGGACGUUACCCGCAGAAUAAGCACCGGCUAACUCUGUGCCAGCAGCCGCCGCCG